AUGUUCUUCCUUGUGUGGUGGUAAGAAAGAAAGAAUUAGUCCACAACCAGCACCUAAGAGAGUAGAAAUACCUGUGUACUAUGAAGAACCUGAUGAAUCGGUUAUCUCACUCCGUAAAUUAGAAAUACCAACAUUUAAGCAUGAUACAAAACCAUCAGGUAGUGAGACCCAUACAAAGUAUGUGUACAGAAAACGAUCAGUUAGUGAGACUCGUCCAAAGAACUCGUACAGUCGACACUUUGACCAUGAUGACACGUCAUAUGACUUUGAGAUUAACCAGUCACAAGUUCUUCAGUCUCAAGAUGUUAAACAAUAUGAGCAAAGAAUAGACCACACAUAUUCUGAAUCAACUUGCACAUACGAGGAAGAAGAAAAACGCAGAAGACAUUGGCGUAGGAAAAAAAGAGGAACAAACGUCUUCGUGAAGAACAGAUGCGUGACAACAAAUUUUGAUUUAUAAGAUAAAAUAGACAAACUAAGGUAUUAUGUCCCUCGAUAAGGUGAGGACGUAGAGAACUUGAUACCUUGAUGUUGUCACGUGCUCAUGAGCAUGAUAUAAUGACCGGUGAAAAGGAUAAGUUUGACUUAUUAUAUCAUGUAUAUAUAGUUUGAAUUAUUGGAAAAUAAUAAUAUUGGUCAAGCAUUUUAUAAGUACUGGUUAAUACAGUAAAAUACUUUUAGAUGGAAUAUGAAACUAUCUACAUUGGUAACAGAAAGUGACAUUACAGCUGUAAAAUAUGUAUAAUCUAAUUGUGUGUACCUAAAUGUAUAGGCUUCAGAUUCAUAUAAUUAUGUUUAAUUUUAUUGUGUAUGAUAGUACCUAAACGUACAGGCUUUACAUUGCACAUAAAUAUGUUUAAUCUUAUUGUGUAUGAUAGUACGGUAAACGUAUAGGCUUUAGAUUGCUCAGAAAUUUAUUUAAUCUUAUUGUGUGUGAUAUAACACAAAAGU